GUGCUCGCUUCUACAGCACAUAUACUAAAAUUGGAGUGAUACAGAGAAGAUUAGCAUGGCCCCUGUGCAAGGAUGACACAAAUUCGUGAAGCGUUCCAUAUUUUU
ensembl:snRNA U6 U6 spliceosomal RNA